rnacentral:rRNA from 1 species
AGAGUUUGAUUAUGGCUCAGGACGAACGCUGGCGGCGCGCUUAACACAUGCAAGUCGAGCGAUGAAAUCUUAACAGAACCCUUCGGGGCGAAGAUAAGACGGAUUAGCGGCGGACGGGUGAGUAACACGUGAGUAACCUGCCUUUUACACAGGGAUAGCCUCGGGAAACCGGGAUUAAAACCUGAUGAAACUAUCAAAUCACAUGAUUAAGAAAGUUAAAACUCCGGUGGUAAAAGAUGGACUCGCGUCCCAUUAGCUAGUUGGUGAAGGUAACGGCCCACCAAGGCAACGAUGGGUAGCCGGCCUGAGAGGGUGAACGGCCACAUUGGAACUGAGAAACGGUCCAA